AGCUAAUGCCCAUUUAACAGAGCCAUGGAGUCUGAUGAUUGUUAGUGUGUCCGCUAUGAUCGAAGGAUUGUCGGAGUAUAAGCUACAGUUCAUGGUGCAAACCCAGGCGAAACCUGAUGUUAUUCGACUAAUACCCAUUUAACGAAGAUAUGGAGUCUGACAACUAUUAGCAUGCCAGCUAUGGUCGAAGGGCCACUGGAGUAUGAACUAUAGU
rnacentral:lncRNA from 1 species